UUGGUCUCGUCUCUCUUUCUCGGCCGUUUCUUUUUUUUUCAGGUAGAGACCCCCUCGAAUUCCCCCUACGAAUAAUCCAGUCCCGAGGGCAGGACAGGGUGGCACCCAGACGUGGGGCUCGAGGAACAGACCCUCUACCAGAUGGAGAAUUAGAGAAGACCCCGGGUCGACUAGUUUUUGUGGCGCGCGCAAAACCGAAAGUGAGGAUCGCCAUCCGCAGCUCAUAGAACGUGCGCUCCCGAAACUCACGGAAAAAGACAUGUAAGAAAAAUGUUUCCCACGCUGGUCUUGCUGAGGUUCCGCACUCUUGUGUCCUGCUCCUCCAUUCAUCAGAUUUUCAAUUAUACAUGGCUGGUCAUCAAUCAAGCAGGUAGAGACCUCCUCGAAUUCCCCCCAUGAAUAAUCCAGUCCCUCGGGCCGGACACUACUGUUGCAUUGACUGUCCAGAGUAGGUAAAAAGGCUUAAUAUUUCUUCCUGUUGUUAUGCUACUGUUGUAUUGACUGUCCAGAGUUUUAACCUUUAUCAAUAGGGUUUGAAUUUAUUAAUCUGACUCUGAUACAAAAACAUUCCACUAUACCACGUACUAUUAUGGUUCUAAGCUCAAGAUUGCAAGCCUCCAUAAUGUGUAUGCUUAUACUAAAAGUUAAGAUCAAAUGAGUUUCCCUUUUACUUCAUAAAAGGCUUUUGCCUUUUCAGACCUCACCUUAAAAAAUACUUAUGCUAUUAACACAAAUUUGUAUGUCUACUGCCUUUUUCUCAAUACAGAGUACAAUUGUGAUACUAACAUGUCUAAAGUUUUAUCUCCUUCUUAAAACUUAAAAGUAAUUCUUGUAAGCUGCAGAAAGUCCACCUAAAUCCACCUCUCAGGUCAAUUGGACUCCAGAUAAGUACUGCACUUAUUGCCUAUCUCAAAAGGUGGGACUCCUCCCCUUUCCCUGGUUUUGGGACUUCCUUUCCUGGCUACCAGACUGCUAUUUACUGCAUGCAACCACUGGCUGGAUUAGUGAGUUCUCCUUAUUGAUCAGCCACUAGAUUGGUGACUUCACUCAAUUUUCUCAGCAUAUACGCCUCUCUUGGUAGGGGAAGCUUGACCGCAGAGCUCCGGCAACUUCGUACUAUCUUUUGAGAUGGAGUGAAAAUCCCCCCAGCCGUAGCCUUAACUGUCUAGGUUUGACCCCCUAUGCUGACCUCCAUUUUAGGGCCUCACUCUCCCUUGAGCAGUAUGUCCCCUCUCGCACACGGUUCCUUCUCCCCCUCUCUCGCUCGCUCAUGGGAAGACCUAGCACUAGGCAAACCAUCAUGCCGUGGCCGAGCCCCACUGGGCACCGUGCCCCGGUCCCUGGCCAAAAGCUGAUGAGCUAUUGGACCAGGUAGCACCUCUCUUGCUCGGAGUCACACCUUGCCAUUGGGACACCUCUGGAAGGUUGCUGACUUCUCUACCCCCAAUGGGAGAUGCCCAGAUGCCCGUCCCUCCAGAUAGGAUGUCCUCUGGAGAAUUUUAAGUUUCUACACCUAGUGCCAGCUGGUACCAGGGCCUCUAAGUAUAUAUGCUUCUGUAACCAAACCUCACCUCAAUGACAGAUAGAAAACAAAGCCUUCUUUAAAUAUUGCCAGUGAUUGGGUAAAUAAAGGUCCCCCCCAGGUAGACAGGGGUUCCCAUGUACAAGCAUCAUCGAUCCAAACCUUCUAUUCCUGUUUGCUCUCCCAAAAAUUUUCAAUGUAUACUUACAGGAUUUUCUCCAUACCUACUCUAUCUUUUGCCUAUAUAUGUGUUUCAGUGUCCUGCCAGACACAGAUGUUUCCUAUAGCCACAACAGUGCCAAAGCAUCUGCAGGUGUUCAACUCUGACCUCACAGACUUCCAACAGGCUGGACCUGCACCUUCCCUCUGUUCUCGAAGACCCUGGAAAGCAUCAAAACAGCCUAUUCUUCCUGGACUUGGCUGACAUUUCAGCCUUUUGGCCUCCCUACAGCGCCCCCAGUGUCAGCAGAAGUAGCCAGAAGAGAAUCUACACCCGUUAUUCACUUGUUGUUAACAAAAGGCUGAAAUGGUGUGCUUCAGGACCAGGACAAGCAGCUCCAGGUUCUCCCAGCACUCCCCAGCCCCUACCUGCUGCCUUGCAUGGCUGGCAACUCUCUCUAUUGACAACUCUCUAUACUAAAGGGCAGAAGCUUCCCUUACUCUUGACCUUGCAAUCUGACUGUUUUGUUGCUAUAAUCUUCUCUCUCUCAAACUCUUGCAUGACAACCAAGAGCUGCUUCCAAUGAGCCUAAAUUUAUAUGCUUUAACUUACCUUAUAAAAAGCAGCCCAAGCUUCCCAUUUUUUAAUUAUAGAAAAAGGGAGGAAUGUUAGUAUUUUGGAACACAACCUGCUUCUGGGUUACCCAGCAACUUAUGAUGUCAUCAUGUGUCGCCAGCCAGGUGGCCACACCCGGAAGGCGUGGUUACCUUGCCCCUUAGAGGGCUAACCCCAACAUGUGGUCUCUCUCUUACACUCUUUACCUCUCUUACACUCUUACUCUCUCUCACUCUUACUCUCUCUCUCUCUCUCUCUCUCUCUCGGGAUGCCCCCUUUUCCCCUUCCCUUUUCUCUCUCUCUCAUGUCCUGCUUCCCCCUUCCUCCAUACCCUCCUAAUAAACUUCUUGCAGAGAAUAUCGGUUGAAACCAGCCUCAUUGCUUUUUUUAAUAAAUAAUAACACCCUCACAGUCGUAAUAUUACUACUUACUGUUGGGCCAUGUUUGCUGCCGGAGCCAGUCAGCAGAGUCGAACGGUUCUUGAGUCGGGAGUGAGGAUUAAUAUUAAUAAAAUAAACACACAGCACACAGGAAACUUUUUAAAGGUCCAGACUCGACAGCCACAGCAAAAGGCAGGCUGCCGCAGCAAGCAGCACAAGCAGCAAGUCUCAAGUCUCUGCCUCCAGCCCUCUGACCUCUUUAUUUGUGAGGAGUUACUUUUAGCCAGUAAAACAUCUCAGAACAAUGGGUUAAUUUUCACAAGAUGCCUGAGGAAGAGGUGUGACCCUCACAAGCUAUCCCACCUGCUGUCACAAACAAAAGGAGAUGGACUUGUAAGUUCUUUUCUGCCAUUAGUAAAGGCCUGCUAAAAGCCAUCUCUCCGCCGAGAUUUAAAUAUCAAAGCAGGCCGCUGGAGUCACGGCUCCCAACAGUUUGCUGAACCAGUUAAUGACCUACUUCAGGCAGAGACUGGGGACUAUCCAGGUAAUGGUGCUCCACUCACAGUACCAACACCUGACCACAACUGAAAACAACACCAACUCAUAAAUUCCCCUUCCCUUCAAAAUAAUAACUCUGUUUCUAGUCUGUGUCUAGUCUGACAGGUUUAUUCUCCAUGGAAGCACCUGCGACUCUGUGUAAGCUGAUGGACUCAAUAGGACUCAUCUUAGACUGAUACCGGAAACUUCAGCUUUGUCAACAGCCUCACGGUCAGCAUUGAAGCAGCUAUAGAAGACAAGAUCCACAGCCCCUGGUCCCACUUAGCAGCUGAAAAUGAUAUAACCCCCCCCCCAAUACCAAGCUAAAUGGCGCAUCUCGAAAUUUUCCUCUUGAAAAGGAGGAAAUGAGAGGUUCAAAAACUUAGAGUUAAUUCCUGGGACUGGGGCAAAAUCACCAGAUCACAGUCUUUUCAGAGCAGAGGUCCAGAAGCAGUCCCCCACCCAGAUUAACCUUAGGGUGUGACUAGGGUCAUGUAGCUCCUAAGAAAGCCCAUGGAAUGUGUUAACUCCUCCUCCCCCUUGCUACACCCUAACCUGCACGUACGGGGGGGGGGGGGGUGUUAGGUGUCCCCCAGGUAGCCAGACCUAACCAUUUGCAGUUUUGGCACCUAAAAAUAAACCAAUCAUUUUAAAGGUCAGCUCCCCUAGAGACCCUUUCACCCAAUCCUGUAAUGCCAAGACCUGCACUUCCCAGCUUGGGUUUUGUCCCCUUAAAAGCCCUGUUCCCCCAGAGUUGGGGGUCGCUUGCACCUUUGAUCUUGUAAAGGGCAGCCACCCAGCUCGAGUUUGUAAUAAAGGACCCUUGUGUGUUUUA